AGAGUUUGAUCCUGGCUCAGGACGAACGCUGGCGGCUUGCCUAACACAUGCAAGUCGAGCGGACCCAGUGGAGCUUGCUCCCUUGGGUAUGCGGGGGAGGGGUGAGUAACACGUGUGUAACUUUCCUCGUUGACUGGGAUAACCCCGGGAAAUCGGGGCCCAUAACUGAUGCUUGAUUAAACGGCAUGGCUCGGUUGAACCGGGGGCUUUCACAUUACGACUUAACAAUGGACCUGCGCUCGCUUUACUCCGUUGGUGAGCUAACGGCUCACCACCGCUACCAUGUUUAGCCGACUCCUGAGGGUGAUUGGCCCCGAGGUUACUGAUAAACUACCAUCAAUGCUACGGGAGGUAACAAUUGGAAAUCUUCUGCAAUGCACAAAAGUCUGACGGACCAACGCCACGUAAGUCUUCAGGGUUUUCGGAUCUUACAACUCUGUUGAUAGGCAAGAACAUUUCCUGCUCGAGUCUGGCGGUACCUUGUGGGCAACUAACCAGAAAGCUACGGCUAAAUACCUGCCACCAGCC
rnacentral:rRNA from 1 species